rnacentral:rRNA from 1 species
CACGUAGUUAGCCGGGGCUUCUUCUGGAGGUACCGUCACCCUCUGGGCUAUUAACCCGAGUAGCUUCGUCCCUCCUGAAAGAGGUUUACAACCCGAAGGCCUUCUUCCCCACGCGGCGUCGCUGCGUCACGGUUUCCCGCAUUAGCGCAAGAUUCCCCACUGCUGCCUCCCGUAGGAGUCUGGGCCGUGUCUCAGUCCCAGUGUGGCUGAUCGUCCUCUCAGACCAGCUACGGAUCGUCGCCUUGGUGGGCCGUUACCCCGCCAACAAGCUAAUCCGCCGCGGGCUCAUCCUCGACCAGAGGCCGAAGCUACCUUUUCUCCGGCGCCCGAAGGCUCCGGAGGCUAUUCGGUAUUAAUCCGGGUUUCCCGGCUAUCCCGAUGUCAAGGGCAGAUUACCCACGUGUUACUCACCCGUUCGCCGCUGUCCCCAGGGCCGAAGCCCAGGUUCUCGCUCGACUUGCAUGUGUUAAGCGCGCCGCCAGCGUUCGUCCUGAGCCAGGAUCAAACUCU